rnacentral:misc_RNA from 1 species
GAUGAAGAACGCAGCGAAAUGCGAUAAGUAAUGUGAAUUGCAGAAUUCCGUGAAUCAUCGAAUCUUUGAACGCACAUUGCGCCCCCUGGCAUUCCGGGGGGCAUGCCUGUCUGAGCGUCAUUUCUGCCCUCCAGCCCGGCUGGGUGUUGGGCGCUGUCCCCCCGGGGACACGCCCCAAAGGCAGUGGCGGCGCCGCGUCGGGUCCUCGAGCGUAUGGGGCUUUGUCACCCGCUCGGGACGGACUCGUCGGCGCUGGUCUUCCUCCAGGCGACCCUUCGGGGCUCGUCUUCCUUCGGUUGACCUCGGAUCAGGUAGGGUUACCCGCUGAACUUAAGCAUAUCAAUAAGCGGAGGA